GACUACAGCCAUGCUACCCCAAAAAUGCCUGAUCCCAUCUGAUCUCGGAAGCUAAGCAGGGUUGGGCCUGGUUAGUACUUGGAUGGAAGACCGCCUGGGAAUACCAGGUGCUGUAGGCA
rnacentral:rRNA from 1 species